rnacentral:rRNA from 1 species
GACGAACGCUGGCGGCGUGCCUAAUACAUGCAAGUUGAGCGCUGAAGGUUGGUACUUGUACCAACUGGAUGAGCAGCGAACGGGUGAGUAACGCGUGGGGAAUCUGCCUUUGAGCGGGGGACAACAUUUGGAAACGAAUGCUAAUACCGCAUAAAAACUUUAAACACAAGUUUUAAGUUUGAAAGAUGCAAUUGCAUCACUCAAAGAUGAUCCCGCGUUGUAUUAGCUAGUUGGUGAGGUAAAGGCUCACCAAGGCGAUGAUACAUAGCCGACCUGAGAGGGUGAUCGGCCAAAUUGGGAAUGAGACCAGGCCCAAACUCCUACGGGAGGCAGCAGUAGGGAAUCUUCGGCAAUGGACGAAAGUCUGACCGAGCAACGCCGCGUGAGUGAAGAAGGGUUUCGGAUCGUAAAACUCUGUUGGUAGAGAAGAACGUUGGUGAGAGUGGAAAGCUCAUCAAGUGACGGUAACUACCCAGAAAGGGACGGCUAACUACGUG